UACGUAGGGUGCGAGCGUUAGUCGGAAUUACUGGGCGUAAAGUGUGCGCAGGCGGCGUUGCAAGUCGAGUGUGAAAAUCCCCCGAGCUUAACUUGGGAAUUGCGCUCGAAACUACGAUGCUCGAGUGUGGCAGAGGAAGGUGGAAUUCCACGUGUAGCGGUGAAAUGCGCAGAUAUCAGGAGGAACACCGAUGGCGAAGGCAGCUCGCUGGGACGGUACUGACGCUGAGGCGCGAAAGCAUGGGGAGCGAACAGG
rnacentral:rRNA from 1 species